UGGGUUGUCGCUCAGUGGUAGAGCGUUUGCCUAGCAUACAUGAGACACUGGGUUCAAUCCCUGGCACCACAU
rfam:Ictidomys tridecemlineatus contig005884, whole genome shotgun sequence.